rnacentral:tRNA from 1 species
AAGGGAUUAGUUAAUAAUAUAACAUAGAUAUGUCAAGUCUAAAUAACAUAAUUGUAUCACUUA